AAAAAACAUUCCCAAGUUUAUAACUCCAAGCAUUUACGGGGUUAAUUGCAAGCGUCGCCUCUCCGACUAGACGAAUCUUAACAAUCCCCCCCGUAAACGAAGGUACCUAGGAAUGCGGAAUUUCGUGGUAGAACUUGACCGGCGCCUCGGCAUCAAGACUACCUUGACAGACAUCGUACGCCUGCAGACAAUUCUCUAACAACAACUCAAGAGGGCUAAAUUAUGGGCUGGCCAGUUCCCAUAACGUCGCAUUCCUCAAGCGCCAGAAAGUUAGGAUUAGAGUCUACAUCGCACGCCGCGUCUGCGAAUCCCAAAUAAAAUUCUUUUGUUUUUUGUAUAAGUACUUAUUUUUUGUCGGAAGCGACCGGUGAGAUAUUAAGGCAAUGACGUAUCCGAAGGUGUAUUACUGGUUGCCUGGGGUCACAAAUUAUUUUUCCAAUUAGUUUGCUGAACAAAGUUAAAUUAUUGCUUCCUAGAUACUCGAAAUAGAAGGUAAAUUAAGGAUAAGAAAAUGACAUGUCAAUUUCUCAUAAUGAAUAGUUGGCUUCGAAUAUCGUAGAAGGACCAGAAAAAAAAACAAUAAAAGUGUUCAGCUUCAAAUAAUACUAAAACAAUAACCAAAUCCUGCUUCGUAAGUAGUGUCCCACGUCACAGAAGUUCUAAAAAAGACCAAUCGCUUGUUUCAAGACGAACUUAGAGCUAUGUACUGGCAAAAUUCAAGAUAUAUGUGGAAUAAUUAAUAGAGAGCGAUACAAAUAUUCAUAGAAAUGUGAUAAAAACUGUUGUGAGAUAUCGUAAUAAGCUUGUAGGACCUGUGCAAAACAAAUGUACGUUCAAACUGAUCUGUAGUAAAAAGUAAAAAAUAGUCUUACAACGAAGAAAACUGUGUAAAUAAUUCACAUGAGAAAUUAUAUUGGAAAUAAUGAAGAUUACAAAUUCGGCAGGUUCCCCUAGUCUUUGAGGAAAUGACACUUAUUUCUCCAGCUGGCUUGAUCCAUUUGACUUUGUUAUAGGAUAAAAUUGUAAGCAGUCUUCCCCUAGAGAAAAUUCACAUUAUGAAUCUGAGGCUGGGAAUCCUUGGAUCUGAUUUUCUCAUAACAAUAAUCUAGAUAUUCCAACUUCUAGAUCCAGUUCUCCAGCGUAACUUUCAAAGUAAAAUACCAAAGACGUGUUCAAUAUGAACAGUCAAAUACAGAGGAACUAUGGAAGGUAGAGGCAGAUUAUUCUUAAGAUAAAAUUGUAAUCAGUGACUAA